rnacentral:rRNA from 1 species
UGAACGCUGGCGGCAGGCCUCAUACAUGCAAGUUGAACGAGAAAGUAUCUUCGGAUGCGAGUACAGUGGCGGACGGGUGAGUAAUACAUAGGAAUCUACCCAAUGGAGGGGGAUAGCUCGAGGAAACUCGAAUUAAUACCGCAUAAUCUCCACGGAGUAAAGAGGGCUUCGGCUCUCGCCAUCGGAUGAGCCUAUGCAAGAUUAGCUUGUUGGUAAGGUAAUGGCUUACCAAGGCUACGAUCUUUAGUUGGUUUGAGAGGACGACCAGCCACAUCGGGACUGAGACACGGCCCGGACUUCUACGGAAGGCAGCAGUAGGGAAUAUUGGACAAUGAGCGAAAGCUUGAUCCAGCCAUGCCGCGUGUGCGAUGAAGACCUUAGGGUUGUAAAGCACUUUAGGUUAUGAGAAAAGAUUUGGUAUUAAUACCACCAAAUUUUGAUGUUAAUUUCAGAAUAAGCACCGGCUAA